GACGAACGCUGGCGGCGUGCUUAACACAUGCAAGUCGAACGGAAAGGCCCUGCUUUUGUGGGGUGCUCGAGUGGCGAACGGGUGAGUAACACGUGAGUAACCUGCCCUUGACUUUGGGAUAACUUCAGGAAACUGGGGCUAAUACCGGAUAGGAGCUCCUGCUGCAUGGUGGGGGUUGGAAAGUUUCGGCGGUUGGGGAUGGACUCGCGGCUUAUCAGCUUGUUGGUGGGGUAGUGGCUUACCAAGGCUUUGACGGGUAGCCGGCCUGAGAGGGUGACCGGCCACAUUGGGACUGAGAUACGGCCCAGACUCCUACGGGAGGCAGCAGUGGGGAAUAUUGCGGAAUGGGCGGAAGCCUGAUGCAGCAACGCCGCGUGCGGGAUGACGGCCUUCGGGUUGUAAACCGCUUUCGCCUGUGACGAAGCGUGAGUGACGGUAAUGGGUAAAGAAGCACCGGCUAACUACGUG
rnacentral:rRNA from 1 species